GUCCAGGGAAGGGAAUCAAACCACACUGUUCCGCUUACCGGGCAGAUGCCAUGUCCACUAGGCUACCCUGGA